UGAAAUCCAGUAACAAAAUCCCUACUCUACAAAAGCGAAUAAAACCCUAAUCUAGAGAAUAAAGAACUGUAGCAACAAAUGAAAGUGCGUCUGUGUGUGUAAACCAUGUACAUUGCAGAAAACCCCUUUUUAUAGGGUUGAGAAAAGAAGAAAAAGGGAAAAAAACAGAAAAGAAAAAGGAAAAAAAAUGGAAAAAAAAAACUUGCUUGCUACGCUAAGCUUCAUCUGACGUGGCAGCUGUGGUCAUCUUCGUCUUCGUCGGUCAGCUCCUCUUCUUUUCCGGGCAUAGCAUAUGAUUCACUUAAAUCACCAGACCAAUUGCAGAAGAACUAUCCACUAGGCAAGUCAAAAAGAAAUCCAAAAACUAAAAACUGAAAGCAAAUAAAAAAAAAAACUUGAAAUUAAAACUGAAAAACCAAUUAAAAUGGACUCUUUGAAGCUCCAGUAGUGUAGAACACUAGCUUCACUUAUUAUCUGAAACAUCUUCCUCCUCANAGUAGCUUAUACUCCGCNACUNCUCCACCUCCCCCAUCAGUAGGGGCUUGGCCCCCAAGCCAUGCUUUAAAGUCCUAAUGAAGAUGUUAUCUCUCUUUUUGGUGGACCAACU
rnacentral:lncRNA from 1 species